rnacentral:rRNA from 1 species
UAGGGAAUCCUCCACAAUGGGCGAAAGCCUGAUGGAGCAACGCCGCGUGUGUGAUGAAGGGUUUCGGCUCGUAAAACACUGUUGUAAGAGAAGAAUGACAUUGAGAGUAACUGUUCAAUGUGUGACGGUAUCUUACCAGAAAGGAAUGGCUAAAUACGUGCUAG